UUAACAAAAACAUGUCUUCUCGAUAAUAUUUUGAAGUCUGGCCUGCUCACUGAUUUUAUAUUAAAUAGCCGCGGUAUUUUGACCGUGCAAAGGUAGCAUAAUCAUUAGUCUUUUAAUUGGGGGCUGGAAUGAAUGGUUUAACGAGAAAUUGGCUGUCUCUUAAUAAAUUUUAGAAUUUAACUUUUGAGUUAAAAGGCUUAAAUUUUUUUUUAGGACGAGAAGACCCUAUAGAUCUUGACAUUUAUAUUUUUAUAUUUUUUAUAGAUAAUCUUUUUAUAUUAAAUUUUAAUGUUAUGUUGGGGUGACAUGAAGAAUAAAUAAACUCUUCAUUAUUAAAUCAUUUAUUUAUGACUAUUUGAUCCAUAAUUUAUGAUCAUAAGAUUAAGUUACCUUAGGGAUAACAGCGUAAUUAUUUUUGAGAGUUCAUAUCGACAAAAUAGAUUGCGACCUCGAUGUUGGAUUAAGAUUAAUUUUAGGUGUAGUAGCUUAAAAGUUAGUCUGUUCGACCUAAUUC
rnacentral:rRNA from 1 species